rnacentral:rRNA from 1 species
CACCCGCGCCACAAGUGGCAGCCACAUUUAUUGGGUCUAAAGCGUUCGUAGCCGGCCUUGUAAAUCUUCUGUGAAAUUGUUAGGCCUAACCUAACAGUGUGCAGGGGACACUGCAAGACUAGGGACCAGGAGGAGCUAGAGGUAUUCUAAGGGGAGCGGUAAAAUGUUAUAAUCCUUAGAGGACCACCUGUGGCGAAAGCGUCUAGCUAGAAUGGAUCCGACGGUGAGGAACGAAAGCUGGGGGA